UUUGAAGUCCCAACUUGUAUUUACCAAACACUGAAAGAGUGAAAGAUAUAAAAUCCACCUUUCAAUUCAAUUUAAAAAUUAAAUAAAAAUAAAGUGUAUUCUCGAUUUCAUCUAAAAUCACAAAUCGGUUAUCAUCGCCACCGCUGCGGAUCGCACAAUCCGAGCAAUUCCACCGCACAGAACCAACGCCAUCAACGUGUAUUAGUCCUUGAGCUACUUCAUGUGUUGUAAUUUGAAGCAUUGAUUGAUGAUGCGGGAGAUAUGGAACAAGUAGAAGUUAAACAGUUAGAAGAUGUGAAUGGAGAAGACUUAGAAGGGGAUGAUGAUCGAUGUGAUAAAUGAAAACAGUGAUGAUGGUUACCAAUAGCAUAUUUUAAUAUCUAUUUACACCUGUCGAUAUCAACAAUAAUAUUGUUUAUUUAUUUAGUCUAUACAGUAGCUGUUGUAACUAUGUUGUGUGUCUCGUUUAUGCUGGAAAUUCAUGAUUGGUUUACCGGUUGCUUUA